UCCACAGGUACCCGCAGCAAAGCCAACGGCAAAACCUUCAAUUGAUAUAGUAAACGAUUAUUACCCUUUCGUAGAUUUUAAAAUCGUUUCCCCGGAUAUUUCACCCAAAGUUGACAGAAAGCAGGAUAUUUUCAUGAUCGUCUUAGUCAAUACUGCCGCAGGAGGCGACAGCUACCGAAAACGUCGCGAGGCUAUCCGACAAACCUGGGGAAAUCGAAGCAAUUGUGAACAACGUAAAGCUUCGGGAAAUGAAAAAGUGAAAGACCUAAAAUGGCUGCUCGUGUUUGUUGUUGGAAAAGCAGGACCGGGAACGAACGAUGAUGAACUAAACAUGGCUGAAGCUAGACAACACAAUGAUAUGCUGAUAGGAAAUAUCACUGAAAAUUAUCUAAAUAAUAUUAUAAAGUUCUACAUGGGUCAAGUGUGGGCAAGUAAAUUUGAUAUAAAAUACACAAUGAAAACAGACGAUGAUGUUUAUGUGCGCAUACCACGUGUGUUGGAAUAUCUUGUCAAAGCUAAGUUUCCAAGACCAUUUUACGGAGGUUGGACGUACGCAGGAACUCUUGUGAAUCGCAAAAUCGGUGGAAAAUGGACAGUUAGUUGGAAAUAUUAUGGAGAAAAGGAUUGGCCUCGAUUUAAUCCUGGAGCAUUCUUUAUUCUGUCCAGCGACCUUCUCAAUAGAUUAUUUAACUAUGUCUAUGUAAGAAAACCAUUUCACACAGACGACGCAUAUGUAGGGGUAGCAAUGCGAGAUUUUGGGGUGAGAAUUACCACGAUUUCUACAUUCCGUAUUGACCCUGAUAUGAAUAAGCAAAUUCCAAAAUUAAAAGACUGUUAUUUAUUAGGAAAAACUGCAUUGGGACAUAAUGUUGACCCUAUAGCAUCCAAGAUACUUUUUGAUCGUUAUGAGACGAUGUUGUGUGGAAAUAUUCCAAAGAAGUGUUAAAAGUUAGUUUCUUCAUAGUUCAGUUCUUGCCGUUGCCAUCCCCCCCCCCGGCGAUUUUUAAACUUUUUGCCAAAAAUUUGCGUAUUCACCCCCAGGCAUGUAAAAAGGCAAUCCCGGUGUCAGCAAUUUUAUGAUUCUGGGCUCUACAUGAAAUAUCUCACAAAAUAUAUGAAUAGGAGAUAUAAAAGUAAAUUCACAAAAUAGAGCAUUUACAGUCGUGCCAAUAGAAGCGUUCCGAAAAAUGUUGACCAGUUCAUUUCCUAACUUCGAGGAGUUCCUCUGAACAAUUCCUCAACAAUUUGAUAAGUUCCUUAAAAGGUUCCUAACUUCCUGUUUCAUUGACCAAUAAGAUUGCUCAAAAAUAAAAUAUAAAAUUUGAUUGGUCAAUGAAGCAGGAAGUUAGGAACUUUGUGAGGAACUUUUUUGAGGAUCAAAUUGUUGAGGAAUUGUUCAGAGGUGUUCCUUCAAGUUAGGAAGUGAACUGGUCAACAUUUUUCGGAACGCUUCUAAUGGCACGACUGUAAACAGACCAUUUCAACAGUUUCAUAUCCUUCUGAAAUGGUUCAAUUUCCAACAAUACCAUUUGACUUCCAGCAAGAUAUUGCAAAACAUACGCCAUGUGGCUCAGUCCCAGGCCCCUCCUGUGAUGGGAAAUACAUUUCCCACUUCUAACACCCCCCCCCCC
rnacentral:lncRNA from 1 species